rnacentral:rRNA from 1 species
AUUGAACGCUGGCGGCAGGCUUAACACAUGCAAGUCGAGCGAGCGGCGGACGGGUGAGUAAUGUCUGUGACAAUGCCUGAUGGAGGGGGAUAACUACUGGAAACGGUAGCUAAUACCGCAUACCAUCAGAUGUUCCCAGAUGGGAUUAGCUAGUAGGGGUGGUGAUGGCUCACCUAGGAGACGAUCCCUAGCUGGUCUGCGAGGAUGACGAGCCACACUGGAACUGAGACACGGUCCAGACGCCUACGGGAGGCAGCAGGGGGGAAUAUUGCACAAUGGGCGCAAGCCUGAUGCAGCCAUGCCGCGUGUGUGAAGAAGGCCUUCGGGUUGUAAAGCACGUACAGCGAGGAGGCGUUACUCGCAGAAGAAGCACCGGCUAACUCCGUGCCAGCAGCCGCGGUAAUUC